AUUGAACGCUGGCGGCAGGCUUAACACAUGCAAGUCAAGCGGGGGAAGGUAGCUUGCUACCGGACCUAGCGGCGGACGGGUGAGUAAUGCUUAGGAAUCUGCCUAUUAGUGGGGGACAACAUCUCGAAAGGGGUGCUAAUACCGCAUACGUCCUACGGGAGAAAGCAGGGGAUCUUCGGACCUCGCGCUAAUAGAUGAGCCUAAGUCGGAUUAGCUAGUUGGUGGGGUAAAGGCCUACCAAGGCGACGAUCUGUAGCGGGUCUGAGAGGAUGAUCCGCCACACUGGGACUGAGACACGGCCCAGACUCCUACGGGAGGCAGCAGUGGGGAAUAUUGGACAAUGGGGGGAACCCUGAUCCAGCCAUGCCGCGUGUGUGAAGAAGGCCUUAUGGUUGUAAAGCACUUUAAGCGAGGAGGAGGCUACUCUAGUUAAUACCUAGGGAUAGUGGACGUUACUCGCAGAAUAAGCACCGGCUAACUCUGUGCCAGCCGCCGCCGUAAUAC
rnacentral:rRNA from 1 species